AGCGCUGCCCGUUCGCACGGCGCGGCUACGGGUGAACCCCGAAGCGAGACCCGUGUUCCGCGACGUCCGCGCAUCGCGUCGUCGUCGUCGCGGCCCUUGGGUUCCCGCUCGACCUCUGGGAUGCGGAAAACGCUACGGGCACGGGGUCCCCGACCCCUUUUUGCCCACGAAAUUGGCGUCACACGCCACGUUCGAACGACGUUCGGCGACGCACUGACGUGACGCGUCUUGCGGCCCGAUGUCCGUGAGGAAUGCUACCUGGUUGAUCCUGCA
rnacentral:misc_RNA from 1 species